rnacentral:rRNA from 1 species
GACGAACGCUGGCGGCGUGCUUAACACAUGCCAGUCGAACGGAAAGGCCCUGCUUUUGUGGGGUGCUCGAGUGGCGAACGGGUGAGUAACACGUGAGUAACCUGCCCUUGACUUUGGGAUAACUUCAGGAAACUGGGGCUAAUACCGGAUAGGAGCUCCUGCUGCAUGGUGGGGGUUGGAAAGUUUCGGCGGUUGGGGAUGGACUCGCGGCUUAUCAGCUUGUUGGUGGGGUAGUGGCUUACCAAGGCUUUGACGGGUAGCCGGCCUGAGAGGGUGACCGGCGACAUUGGGACUGAGAGACGGCCCAGAAUCCUACGGGAGGCAGCAGUGGGGAGUAUUGCACAAUGGGCGGAAGCCUGAGGCAGCAACGCCGCGUGCGGGAUGACGGCCUUCGGGUUGUAAACCGCUUUCGCCUGUGACGAAGCGUGAGUGACGGUAAUGGGUAAAGAAGCACCGGCUAACUACGUG